GACGAACGCUGGCGGCGUGCUUAACACAUGCAAGUCGAACGGAAAGGCCCUGCUUUUGUGGGGUGCUCGAGUGGCGAACGGGUGAGUAACACGUGAGUAACCUGCCCUUGACUUUGGGAUAACUUCAGGAAACUGGGGCUAAUACCGGAUAGGAUCUCCUGCUGCAUGGUGGGGGUUGGAAAGUUUCGGCGGUUGGGGAUGGACUCGCGGCUUAUCAGCUUGUUGGUGGGGUAGUGGCUUACCAAGGCUUUGACGGGUAGCCGGCCUGAGAGGGUGACCGGCCACCUUGGGACUGCGAUACGGACCAGAAUCCUACGGGCGGCAGCAGUGGGGAAUAUUGCACAAUGGGCGGAAGCCUGAUGCAGCAACGCCGCGUGCGGGAUGACGGCCUUCGGGUUGUAAACCGCUUUCGCCUGUGACGAAGCGUGAGUGACGGUAAUGGGUAAAGAAGCACCGGCUAACUACGUG
rnacentral:rRNA from 1 species